rnacentral:rRNA from 1 species
CCUACGGGUGGCAGCAGUGAGGAAUAUUGGUCAAUGGCCGCAGGGCUGAACCAGCCAAGUCGCGUGAGGGAUGACGGUCCUAUGGAUUGUAAACCUCUUUUGUCGGGGAGCAAAAGACGCCACGCGUGGCGUUCCGAGAGUACCCGAAGAAAAAGCAUCGGCUAACUCCGUGCCAGCAGCCGCGUUAAUACGGAGGAUGCGAGCGUUAUCCGGAUUUAUUGGGUUUAAAGGGUGCGCAGGCGGAAGAUCAAGUCAGCGGUAAAAGCGAGAGGCUCAACCUCUUCGAGCCGUUGAAAGUGGUUUUCUUGAGUGAGUGAGAGGUAUGCGGAAUGCGUGGUGUAGCGGUGAAAUGCAUAGAUAUCACGCAGAACUCCGGUUGCGAAGGCAGCAUACCGGCGCUCAACUGACGCUCAUGCACGAAAGUGUGGGUAGCGAACAGGAUUAGAUACCCGUGUAGUC